ensembl:lncRNA
GGGCACCUCACUCAUCCUCCUCCUUCGCCAGAUGGCAGCAGCGGGUGGUUCAAGAGCGUCAACAAAGGCCCUACUCACGCACCCUCUGCCAACCUAUGUAACCAGCAGAUCUCCAGGCAUGCUAUGGUUUACACGGAUGCCUCCACCACUGGCUGUGGGACCAUGUACAACGGGCAUGCAGUCUCAGGGGAUUGGAUGGGCCUGCAGCUGCAUUAGCACAUCAAUUGCCUAGAGUUGUCAGCAGUUCACCUUGCCUUGAACCAUCUCAAAGGUCGCUUAUGAGGCAAGCACAAGCUGGUCCGAAAGGACAACACAGUGACCGUUGCGUACUUCAACCAACAAGGUGGUCUGCGCUCCCGUCGCAUGUCACAACUCGCCCACCACCUCCUCCUUUGGAGUCUGAAGUUUCUGAGGUCACUUCGUGCUGUUCACAUUCCGGGCCUGCUCAAUUGUGCAGCCGACGAGCUAUCUCGAGCAAUGUUCCCAGGAGAAUGGUGACUCCAUCCCCUGAUGGUCCAGCUGGUUUGGAGACUUUUCGGAGCCGCUCAAGUAGACCUGUUUGUUUCUCCAGGGACCUCUCAAUGCCAGUUGUUCUAAUCCCUGACCAAGGGAACACUCAGCACGGACGCACUGGCACACAACUGGCCGCAGGGCCUACGCAAAUAUGCGUUUUCCCCCCAGUAAGCCAGAAACUGUGCAAAGUCUGGGAGGACGAGGAGCAAGUCUUGCUAGUGGCGCCGUAUUGGCCCACUCGGACCUGGUUCCCCGAACUAGUGCUCCUCAUGACAGCCCCUCCUUGGCCGAUUUCUCUGAGGAAGGAUCUACUAUGUCUGGUACCUGGACGGGACACGGAGGUUUUAGGUGACCUACCCGAGGAGGUAGUGAACAUCAUCACUUUGGCAAGUGCACCGUCUAUGAGACACACUUACGCCUUGAAGUGGAACCUGUUCAUCUAGUGGUGUUCUUCUCUCUGAGGGGACCCCGGAAGAUGCCCAAUUGCGGUCGUGCUUUCCUUUCUGCAGCAAGGGCUGGAGCGAAGGCUGUCUCCCUCCACCCUCAAAGUCCAGGUUGCUGCUAUUGCAACAUACCAUGACCCCACGAAUGGGAGGUCUUUUUGUAAGAGUAAGAGUUUAUGUAUGUCUAGAGUUUGGGCCAGCUGACUCCCAGGUAAUCCUGAGGCCCCUGCCUGGCUACGUGCAUAAGGUUCCCACUUCACCCUUCAAAGACCAAGUGGUGAACCUGCAAGUGCUGCCCCUGGGGGAGGCAGACCCAGCCCUGACUUUGCUCUGUCCCGUCCGAGCAUUGAGAUUCUACAUAGACCGGACACAAAGCUUCAGGACCUCAGACCAGCUCUUUGUCUGUUACGGAGGCCGGCAGUAGGGGAAUGCCGUCUCUAAGCAGAGGAUGGCCCACUGGAUUGUGGAUGCCAUAACCUUGGUUUAUCAGGCACAGGGUGUGCCCUGCCCAUUCAGGUUGCAAGCUCACUCAACUAGAAGUGUUGCAUCUUC